AUUGAACGCUGGCGGCGUGCCUAACACAUGCAAGUCGGACGAGUGGCGGACGGGUGAGUAAUGUCUGGGCACCUGCCUGAUGGAGGGGGAUAACUGCUGGAAACGGUAGCUAAUACCGCAUACCCUCGGAUGUGCCCAGAUGGGAUUAGCUAGUUGGUGGGGUAAAGGCUCACCAAGGCGACGAUCCCUAGCUGGUCUGAGAGGAUGACCAGCCACACUGGAACUGAGACACGGGCCAGACUCCUACGGGAGGCAGCAGUGGGGAAUAUUGGACAAUGGGCGCAAGCCUGAUGCAGCCAUGCCGCGUGUAUGAAGAAGGCCUUCGGGUUGUAAAGGACUUUCAGCGGGGAGGCGUUACCCGAAGAAGAAGCACCGGCUAACUCCGUGCCAGCAGCCGCGGUAAUUC
rnacentral:rRNA from 1 species